rfam:Gossypium hirsutum cultivar TM-1 chromosome 12, whole genome shotgun sequence
UGUUAAAUAUUUCAUCCAUUUCUACUGUUAAAAAUCUAUUUGACUAAUGGAAUAACUAGAUAGUUACAUGUGGCGUGCCACGUGUACCUCAUGUUGGCAAACAAGGACUAGUUUUUAAUUGUAGAAAUGGAUGAAAUUUUUAACA